rnacentral:rRNA from 1 species
GACGAACGCUGGCGGCGUGCUUAACACAUGCAAGUCGAACGGAAAGGCCCUGCUUUUGUGGGGUUCUCGAGUGGCGAACGGGUGAGUAACACGUGAGUAACCUGCCCUUGACUUUGGGAUAACUUCAGGAAACUUGGGCUAAUACCGGAUAGGAGCUCCUGCUGCAUGUUGGGGGUUGGAAAGUUUCGGCGGUUGGGGAUGGACUCGCGGCUUAUCAUCUUUUUGGUGGGGUAGUGGCUUACCAAGGCUUUGACGGGUAGCCGGCCUGAAAGUGUGACCGGCCACAUUGGGACUGAGAUACGGCCCAGACUCCUACGGGAGGCAGCAGUGGGGAAUAUUGCACAAUGGGCGGAAGCCUGAUGCAGCAACGCCGCGUGCGGGAUGACGGCCUUCGGGUUGUAAACCGCUUUCGCCUGUGACGAAGCGUGAGUGACGGUAAUGGGUAAAGAAGCACCGGCUAACUACGUG